AGACUUUCGAAUGUACACUUGAUUGGACACAGUUUAGUUGCGAAUACAGCUGCUUGCGCGCCUAGGCUGUGUCCUAUUAAGUGUACAUUCGAAAGUCA
rnacentral:pre_miRNA from 1 species